AGGAGAAAAGAAAGGCUUUGCCCAAGUUGUAGAUUUUGUCAUCCUACUCUAAUGCUGCUACGCUCUGCGAGGUUGUAACUGCCUAUUUUAGGCAAAGGCUUCAGUUUUACCAAAGGAUGUUUCCCCUGCUUGGAAUAGGGCUAGAUUUUACCCGCUUGCAUACUGCACUGUGUUUUCACAGCAUGCCAAUUUACUGUCCUGAGCUGACCUCAUUUAUCUGGAGAGCUGAGUGGAUCAAAGCUCGUGACUGCAGUGGCUGAAGGCUGAAAGUAACUAAGCAACACUGCUAACGAGCAACAUUCGUCUGGACCUUGGAAAUAAAAAUACAGGAGAGUAUCUGGAAAUUGGUGUGACAUCAGGAAUGGGAUAAUUCUGAGGUAGAUUCUCCUCUUAGAGAGAGGAGAAACGGAACUAUGAGCUGUUCGGUGACACUGCAGAUCUCUAAUAUUUGCAUGAUAGCUUUUACUCAGAAAUCAUGAUUAAAAACGUAAACCCCAAACAUCGUUAGUCGUUUUAAGCCAUUCUCUGUGAGGAUGUUGGUUGCCUUGUGCUAUAUAGAACUUAUAUCCAAUAUACACAAGACAUUUUAAAAUAUAUAUUUAUCCUCUUCCCCCGCACAACUAGUCUUUAUGGCCUAUAAUUAUAAUUGGGAUUUUUAUGUGAAUGUUUCAAGGGAAGAUGGUUUUUGGUUUAAGCUGUAAUGCUGUACAAGGAAAUAAUCACACAGAAUUACUUGACCUGAGAAGCAGCCUUGCCACGCUCCCUAGGUGCACGGCUCUGUGGCUUAAAUCACUCAAAAACUUAAAACAUUCACACUGUUAAUUUUUAACUUGGCCUGUAAUAAGCUGUGUAACACAGCUGGGAAAUCAAAGCAAGACGCCGUUCCAAUGGCUGCACAGCGAAGGCAGGCAGCUGAGCUGGGGAAGCGGUGCCUCACGGUGCGGUGAGAAACACUGUCGAGCAGGCUGUAAACUGACUUCUUGGAUUUAACUUUAACUUCUUGGCUUAACCUGCCUGCUACAGACAAGGCAAAGGGUGGCCUUACUCUAUCUAAGAGGUUGUUGUCAAGAUAUCUCAACUGAAAUCUAGUGUGCUCAGACAUUUUGUGUCUAGAUUAAGAAGUCAUUUCUUGCCCCAAAGAGUUUAUAAUGCAACCUGGUGAUGAGGGGCAGAGGCUGGGGGAGAGCAGCCUUACCAGCGAAGGGAUUUGUAGCACCGAGAGCAAGACCCUUCCUGCAUCCCGCCCUUUGGCUCACACUGAUUCUCCCAGGCUGGUCCCUUCUACAAAGACCAAAAUUGUUCUCUAAAAUCACUUGUUUCGCAUAGGUAAGUGCCUUACACAACCCUCUGUUGGUAGUCUUAAAAAAAAGACCCCACAGCUUAUCUGGAAUGAUGAUGAAAGGGCCUGAUAUUCUGCUUUCUAGAUCAAUGCUAAACCCCCUGUGGGAGCAAAGGAGCAGUAGAUAAGCUCACAUCCCCCACAGCAAGCCAGAGGAGGAAGGACAUUUUGACUGAGAUGGAAACCCCCGUGCUCUUUAGUAUGUAGCGUGGCUUUAGACAAGAACAGUACAUGUGCGACUGCUGUGACUGCACAGAUUAACUCAUCUGCAUGGGAACCCAGCUGGUACAUGGAAUGGGAGUAACCGCAUGGAGGCUUAGAGCGGUAAUUAUGGGAACAGGCUGCGAACUGCGCAGAAUAAGAGGGAGUUUAGUUUUAAAAUGACGUUGCAUAGAGACUUCAUCAUUCCCCCAUUUUUCUUUGCUUGUUUGUAGGCUCUUGGGAGCACAGAUCUCUCUCGUCUGUCUGGACAGUGCCUAACCCAAUCCAGGUGCUCAAACCUGCAAUACUCCGGUCUGACAAGUAUAGAGCCCAACCGUGACAGGCUCUGACUGCAGCUAAAAGCGACGUCUCUGUCCCAAAGAGUUUGCAAUACAAGCUGCUGCUUUUAUCUGCUUUUCUGAUGAUGAGAGAGGCUGAGCAAUUUACCGUCACACCAAAACUCUGUGGCAGAGUGAGGGUAACAAAGCUUUAGCGUUUGCAUGAGUGGCAAAUAGUCUUCGUGGGGCCGGUGCUGUGCAGGAGCGGUACAAGGGUGGGUUUGUACCGCGCAGCUUGGCCUGUGUGUGUCUGAAGCCCUCUGCCAGCACUGCAC